GGCCUACAAUGAUGGCUAGAACUUGUGAACUGCGGAGCUUUACCAUCCUUCAUGCAGAGCAUCAGUGGGGAGGACACAGGCCUCACAGGCCUGCCUUACAAUCGUAAGCUUCGACAGCUGAAGAAAAAUGUGGGAUACACCCCUAUACACCAUGACUUCCAAGUGACUCUUACCAGUGACUCUUACCAGCACAUUGACACACACUUUUGAAAUGUCAAACUUCAUCAACUGCUGCCUUGAAGAAAUGGAGAUGGCACUACUGCGUAAUGGAAUGAACUAUACGGUGCCGGUUGUCAGCCUGCCUGCAUGAGAACAGUUACUGACAUGGGAUCUGGACAUCACCAUGAAUAAACCUACCUAUCAGAUUUUGUGUUGGUUUUUCUCAGAAAGGCUACAAACAGAUGCCUUAAAAAGUAUAUAUAUAUCUAUUGACAGAGUAUUUUCAUAUUGGGCAUCUUUGACAACAUGACACAGUUUGACUAUAUUGUUGAUAAACAAUGGUGUAAGGACAUGUCAUUUUGAUUGCACUGACAGAUUAAAUUCCAUUCAUAUAAAUACUUGCUUUUGAGGCAUAGUGUUUUGAGCAAGAUGCACUUUUGCUACUAGUGCUGUCACAGCUUUGCCAGGUUCUUCAGCAGCACCUCACUCUGCACCAGCCACGCCCGCUCAUCAGACUCACACUCCUGUCAGUCAUUCUCUCUCCCCUGCCCACUGAAGCCUUACACCUGCAUCUGAUCAAUCAGCUGAUCAGCUGCACUAUAUCAGGCCUACCUCCACACACACACUUUGUCUGGCCUCGUCAAUGCAGCAUCAAGGACCCAGCCAAAGACUGUAUCUCCUAGUCCUCCUUCUGUGUACCGUGACAAGUGCAGUUUGUUAUUGUGAGAAAUGCACUAACUGUUGAUUGUGCAAACAUUAUUGAUUUGUGAAAAGCACCAAAUUUUUAUACAAA